GCCCGUUUAGCAUAGUCGUUAUUGCGCGGCACUUGUAGCUUCCCGUCUUCGGACCGGAGGUCAUGCCGAGGUCGCUAGUUCAAAUCUGGCAACGGGCU
rnacentral:tRNA from 2 species